rnacentral:rRNA from 1 species
UACCUGCAGCUCAAGUGGGUGACCACUAUUAUUGGGCCUAAAACGUUCGUAGCCGGUUUGGUAAAUGCCUGGGUAAAUCGUGUAGCUUAACUAUACGAAUUCCGGGUAGACUGCCAAACUUGAGACCGGGAGAAGCUAGAGGUACUCCUGGGGUAGAGGUGAAAUUCUGUAAUCCUAGGGGGACCACCAGUGGCGAAGGCGUCUAGCUAGAACGGGUUUGACGGUGAGGAACGAAGCCCUGGGGCGCAAACCGGAUUAGAUACCCGGGUAGUCCAGGGUGUAAACGCUGCUUGCUUGAUGUUAGUUGGGCUCCGAGCCCAAUUAGUGUCGGAGAGAAGUUGUUAAGCAAGCUGCCUGGGAAUACGAUCGCAAGAUUGAAACUUAAGGAAUUGGCGGGGGAGCACAGCAACGGGUGGAGCGUGCGGUUU